rnacentral:lncRNA from 1 species
AUGGGAUUGCCUGGUUUGGGGUUUCCUGGCCCUCCAGGAGUCAGAGGUACCCCUGGAGACUUUGGUGAUGAUGGUAACAUUGGGCUGCCUGGUCCGAAGGGUCAGAAAGGUGACACUGUCUGCAUUACAUCACCAUACCCUGGAAAUCCAGGUCCCCCAGGUUUUAAAGGCGUUCAAGGUAUGUUUACAGAUGGGGGAAUUUUAUUUUUAGUUGAAAUAGAGUUUUUAAUUAAAAAUGGAGUUUGUAAUUAAAAAAAAUAAGAAGCUAUCCUACAAAGAUACACUAAGCAUUCUAGUUUUUCAGCAAAUACAUGUCUCAAAACACAAAACUGCAAAUGUACAGCUAUAUAGUUAUCCAUUACAACUGAGGGCUAGAAAGCUCCAGUUUGCAUGAUCAAAAGGUAUCCAGACUGUUUUCACAGGAAUGACUAAAUGAAGGUAACUACAAACAACUCUGUCCUGCUUUAGUUAAAAGACACGAGAGAGGCUAUUGAAUAAACAAAGGCUAGACUCAGAUAGGACCUGGAAU